GCAUAUCAAUAAGCGAGGAAAAAGAAAAUAACAAUGAUUCCCUCAGUAACGGCGAGUGAACAGGGAAAAGCUCAAAGUUGGAACCUGGUGGGCCUAGCCUACCCGGAUUGUAAACUAAAGUUUUUGGGUCGUUUAGUCAGCCCAGAUAAAUAAGUCCUCUGGAAAGGGGCGACAUAGAGGGGUGAAAUCCCCGUCUUUGGUCUGAGCAUGAUUAGGCGUUUGGCCUGGAAACGAAGAGUCAGGUUGUUUGGGAAUGCAGCCUAAAAUGGGAGGUAAAUCUCUCCUAAAGCUAAAUAUUGACGAAAGACCGAUAGCGAACAAGUACCGUGAGGGAAAGAUGAAAAGCACUUUGAAAAGAGGGUCAAAAAGUACGUGAAAUUGCUGAAAGGGAACCGUAUAAAAUCAGACUUACUGAUAGGUAAUCAACCUUCCUCUUGGGGAGGGUGCACUUGCCUGUUAUUGUAUGCCAGCAAUACUUUGGUUGGGAGGAAAAAAGUAGGAGAAAUGUAGCCUAGGCUUCGGUUUAGGUGUUAUAGUCUUUUGCAAAAUACUCUCGGCUGGAGUAAGGAACGCAGCAAACCGUAAGGCGAAGAUUUUGGGCGCUUGGAAUUAAUAGUUGGAGAAUUUCUGCUUCGGGUGGUGCUUUAGCUAUUAGUUUUAACCCGCUUAAAGUUCUUUUAAUUUGCUUAGGUUGUUGGCUUAAUGAUUUUAUAUGACCCGUCUUGAAACACGGACCAAGGAGUCCACCAUGGGCGCGAGUCUUUGGGUGUAGAAACCCAUGGGCGAAAGGAAAUUGACUAAGAUACCAAGGCGUAUGCUGGCAGUAUCCCCCCGGCGUAGACGUUUUAUACUGAAAUGACUGAGGGCAAGCGCUUAUGAUGGGACCCGAAAGAUGGUGAACUAUACUUGAAUAGGGGUAAAGCCAGAGGAAACUCUGGUGGAAGCUCGCAGCGAUUCUGACGUGCAAAUCGAUCGUCGAAUUUGAGUAUAGGGGGCGAAAGACUAAUCGAAACCAUCUAGUAGCUGGGUUCUGGCGAG
rnacentral:rRNA from 1 species